UGGUGUCCGAGAUCCCCAAGGGCCAAGCCAAGUAAUUGAGGAGGAAGAUCUCUCCCAGCUUUGCUGCAUCACCCCCUCUGUCUGCAAGAGAGAUGCAUCCGUGUGUCUGUAGUGAAGUCUGCGACCCCUCUUUAGAUCACGGUCUGCACAUGUCCAUUUUGUAGGAAGGAUUACAUCACAGCUACAGAGUUGAUCGUCUGAUAGACUAGCUCGACUGCCCAUCUCUCCUGAAGAUCCUUAGCUUUUUAAGUCAAGUGGAGGACAUAAUCUCUUAAAGAGGGUCCCACAGAUGCAUCCUAGCAGUUUGAGCACCACUCCUACAAGAAGAGUCAAUGCCCUGAGUGAUUUCACUGGGGAAUUACUCCGCGGUGGUACUUGUGUUGGGAUGCAC